ensembl:lncRNA
CUGCCUGCCUGCACCCUCAACCCUAACAGAAUGAUAGCGCCAACAUUGGACCCAGCGGACGAUCAAUUUAGCCCUGUAGUGUGCUGCAGUGAUGGGUCUGACUUUGAGUCAGACACAGUACACCAGCCUACUAAAAGAGUAGCAGCUCAAGGUUCUUCAGUAGCUCCAACAGCUAUUUCAUCUUUGAAGCGCAGCAAACAAUAAAACGUUGUCUGGAAGCGAAAGCUGGAGAAUGCGAAAGAAAAAAUAAAGUCAUUAGAGAAUGAAAGGGACUUCUUAAGGAACCAACUGUCUGAGGCUUUGGCGCUUGCAAAUAAAGAGGACCAAGUGACAGCAGCGCCCUCCUUGCACGAAAAGAGUAUUGAAAAAUCCUCUUCAUCUUCCUCCUCCACCUCCUCCUCAUCCUCCUCCGACAGUUCCUCCUCUUCCUCAUCACCUUCUUCAGAAAGAGGGAAGAAGAAGAAGAAGAAGAAGAAGAAGAAGAAGAAGAAGAAGAAGAAGAAGAAGAAGAAGAAGAAGAAGAAGAAGAACAACAACAAAAAAGACAGCAAGAAAAAAAAAGGGAAGAAAGGAAACAAAAAGAACACCAAGAUAGGAAAGAGAGUCCUCACCCCAGAAGAGUCCAUGGAUCGCUACAGGCGCGUCUUUGUAGCAGUGAAAAAGGGCAUGACAAAAACUGAGGCACACGUCAAAGUCGGGGUUGACCGAAAAACGGUGGCAGCAACGGCCGCCAUUUCGGAGCUACAGGCUGUUGACAAGGACCUGUAUGACCAGCUGAGGGCAUCAAUGCCCAAGGGAGAGACACUUUAUCUUUUUUCGGCAAAAUGUAAUCUAGAAAUACUUGGCAGGAACCUUCAGGAUAAGGUGAAUGAAAAAAAAAGCAACGGGGAACUUUUGCAAAUUGGACACCGGGCAUAGUAAAGAAGAGAGCAGGUUUUUGUUUUGUUUUUAGGGUGCCUUUUUUUUGUUCCAUUUUAAAAUGCCCUUUCUUUGGUUGAUUUGUUCAGUGACAUCAAGAAAUGCCUUGUUAAAAGUGCAGCCUUUAUUUUUGUUCCAUUUUAAAAAGCCUUUUUUUGUUUCUGUUUGUGUUUUAAAUUGUUAAUAUUUUCUGUAUUACCCCGUUAUUAUGUUAUUAUUAUGUUAAAAAUGUUUAACUAAAGUGGCUGUAGAUCCCUCAUUGUCAUCAACAGUGGUUUGGCGUUUUAUAACUAACCCUAAAGUGCUUCACUACUGGUAAACGAAUGAUUCAAAAAGCUUCACUACUGGUAAACGAAUGGUUGAAAAAGCUUAACUACUGGUGAACAAAUGGUUCGCGAAAGAGUAACAACUCAGUAUGAUGCAUUACUUUAC